AAUCAACGCUGGCGGCGUGCCUAACACAUGCAAGUCGAACGAGAAAGUGGAGCAAUCCAUGAGUACAGUGGCGAACGGGUGAGUAACACGUGACUAACCUACCUUCCAGUGGGGGAUAACCUCGGGAAACCGGGGCUAAGACUGCAUAACCUCGUGAGGUGAGAUUCCUUGCGAGCAAAGGGGUAAGACGCUGGAUGAGGGGGUCGCGGCCGAUUAGCUAGUUGGCGGGGUAACGGCCCACCAAGGCGAUGAUCGGUAGCCGGCCUGAGAGGGCGCACGGCCACACUGGAACUGAAACACGGUCCAGACUCCUACGGGAGGCAGCAGUGGGGAAUUUUGCACAAUGGGGGAAACCCUGAUGCAGCAACGCCGCGUGGAGGAUGAAGUCCCUUGGGACGUAAACUCCUUUCGACCGGGACGAUAAUGACGGUACCGGUGGAAGAAGCCCCGGCUAACUCCGUGCCAGCAGCCGCAGUAA
rnacentral:rRNA from 1 species